rnacentral:tRNA from 1 species
GUUACUUUGGCAGAUUAGUGCGAUUGAUUUAGGAUCUUUAUAUGUAGUUUUUACAGGUAAUA